UUUCCAUUCCCUUCCUCCUAUCUUUCACCCCACUGGUCCAGUUAAUACAAUUCAAGCGUCAGAGCUCAUCUUCAAUAGACUUUCCUUCAUUAUUAAGACUCUGAGAACCCGUUCUCUGUGAACUUGUUCUCGGUGACCUCUGCGGUGAUAUCCCAGCAUGUUGGGUGUAAUGAAUGCUCCAAAAACCCAUGAGAAAGACAGUAACUGAAAAAGAGUGGAUUCCAGCUCAUCUGAUAAUGUGGAGGAUGUCAAUGUGGGAUAUCCCAAGCCACUGGAAUGGAAUACAUUGGCUAUGUUUUUAUUGAGAAGGAUGAAAUUCUGCUGCUGCUGUUGAGAAGAAACCAGUGGGAAGAGAGGGAAGCAAGCUGGUCAAGUCCACAAAGACAAUAUACAGUGGGGAAAAGAUUUCAAAGGCUGUCAGCUGAACUCCAAGGCCACGGUUCUUAACCUUUACACGCCCUUCUUCCUUAAAUACCUGGGCAGCAUUUAACCAACUUUCCCAAGUGGAAACUGCUCCCCAAUUUAUGAAAAGACAUGUACUUUGAUUUUGAGAAUGUUUCUUAAGGGCUUUACAUUUAUGGAGAACACUGCUCUCAAUUCUAUUAAAUGAAUGGGGUCUAUGUGAAA